GGGGAUGACACGGCUUCGACGUGUAGUAUGCGUGCAGCGGACUGUCCUGCCGAGCAUCCUGAUACGCUCGUAAAACCUGUCAGGAAUCGCAACUGCGGACGAUUAUUCGUACGCGAUGGCGGCGUAACAGCCCCCAUCUGUCCUGCGUCGCUCCUGACCCUUGGGGAGCGUAGGACAUCGACAAACCUGGCCUUGUGGACCGAUAGCUUUCGGUCCCGACUUCCGUCGGGAUGGGCAGACGGGUGACGUGAAUACCGAAUGCAUCCACUACGCAGGUAGAGGUUCGACUUGUGCGGCUACACGGACCCGGGUUCGACUCCCGGCAUCUCCACAA
rnacentral:tmRNA from 1 species